UACGUAGGCAGCGAGCGUUGUUCGGAAUUACUGGGCGUAAAGAGUGUGUAGGCGGUGCUCUAAGUUCGGUGUGAAAUCUCCUGGCUCAACUGGGAGGGUGCGCCGGAAACUGGAGUGCUUGAGCGUGGGAGAGGAAAGCGGAAUUCCUGGUGUAGCGGUGAAAUGCGUAGAUAUCAGGAGGAACACCGGUGGCGAAGGCGGGUCUCUGGGCCGAUACUGACGCUGAGGAGCGAAAGCGUGGGGAGCAAACAGG
rnacentral:rRNA from 1 species